AAGAUUGGUAACCAACACUAA
rnacentral:miRNA from 10 species